CUGGAGAAGAUAGAAGACUCCAAAGCCAGCCAGCAGCAGGAGCCAGCGAGGCCUUGCUCACUACUUGGGUUGGAGGUGCAAGGAAGCACAGCUGGAUGAAGGGUUUGUGGUGGCCUUUCCAGCCCAGGUGCAAAGUGCACACUUUGUCCUGCACCUCAGUCAAAUGUAAUCUCUCAGUGCUGACACCUCUCAUUCUGCCUUUGAUUCUUGAAUCCUUAUGAUUGGGAGAAACAUGGAUUGUCUGGUAAAACAG
rnacentral:lncRNA from 1 species